rnacentral:piRNA from 1 species
UGAGCGGACGGCAGGGAAGAAGG